CAGCUCCAACACCCGGACGCGCUCCAUGCUCCCUCUGCCGCUCAACCUGCGUGUGGCACGCUGUCGCCGCCUAUUGGACUGGAGGAAUCCUACGGAGACAUAUUUAGCCACUCAAUUACUUUUUUAAAAUAAGAAACCGGCUGAUGGUUCCUGAAGGGGCUGGGGUCUGAAGGCGUGGAUUCUGGCUGUGAGUGGACAGGCGCUCCCUCAGACUGGACUGUGACGCACACUGGGACAGAUUCUGUGGCGCUUGCUCUUGUUUUCAUGAAGGUGGGUCCUUCUGGAAUUGUGUCAUCACAGUUUGGAUUGGAAAUCCAAUUCCCAUUAAAGGUUGAAUGUUUGGUAAUAUCUGACAGUGGCAGCUCACUUUCAUGCCCAGACAUCUGAACUCUUGCAGGAGGAUGUUGUGGGAUUUUUGAAGGGGCUCUCUGUUCUUGGAGGGGUUGAAUACAUGGAGUUUCCUCUUCAAAAACUUGACAUCCAUCUCUACGUCUCUGUGUUUGUGUUCCACGAGUGGGCUUGCCGGUCCCUGUGUAUGGAGCUGAGAACACCGGUUGGUGGUACUGCACCUCAGUGGGCAGCUUCUGCUCUGCUGCCUGCAGCAGAAGCUCUUCUACUUGUGUGGUCGUCAUCUGUCCAACAGGGUCUCUGUUCACUUUGCCCCCGUCUGACCGCAGUGCAAACACAGACUUUCGCCCGUCAUCAAACACCUUCAGACCCCUCUCUUGAAUGGAGUUUGGGUUUAUAGUUGCUGUGGAGACCACAUGACUCCUGCCUGUUUGCUGGUCGUGUUCAACACUGAUUUCUAUAGCGAAGGUGGCUGUAAAAGAGAAAACAUUCAAAUUCCAGGAUUUGACACACAAGACAUUAAAAAGAAACAAUCCAUGAACAUCAGAUUGGGGUUUGUUUGAAACAGUGAGAGAAUGACUGAGACGUGAUCUUCAAGCUGCUGUUAAAGUGAAUGGAGGAGCCCCCCCGCCCAUUUUAGCAUCCAGAAUUAUUUACUUUGCAGAAAUGUUCUGCUGACCAAAUGAAGCCAAAUCCUUUCUAGAACAUUCUGGCAGAGUGAGACUUAUUUCCUUUAGAGGAUCAGCCACACCUGUGAUCCUGAUCCUCAAGAACUCUGCUCCACUUGUUGCUCACCUGUCAGUGUUCUAGAAUGCACUCUUCAGCUCUGCAGAGCCCUGAGUGUGACUAACAGAGUUUUGAAUGAAGUGUGUGGGAGCAGAGAAAUGUGUCAUCCAUGCAGGACCACCGUUCACAGACUGUCCCCUCACACGCAGGCACGCUUUCAAUGAACACUUGUCUUACUGUUACAACCAAUAGGACAUUUGUUGCAUUCAAAUGCACUAGGAAGUUAGGUUUGUGACCACUCUAGUAAUUUACACAGUGACUUUAAAGAGUGGAGCUGGUGUGUCCAGAGCUGAGGUCCUGGACUAAGACUGAGAUCUGCUGCUCAGCAUGAGUCAUCUGCAGCUGUUCAUGCCUUUUCACAGCAGCUCCACAAACGGACAGGAAAAGGGAUUUCAUCCUUCGUUAUGCUUGACAGCAGCUCUUCUAUAUACUGAUUAACAACAUGCCCAGCAGCUGUUUUCUCCCACAUUUUCAGAAAAACCCACUGUUUUUUAUUCUAUUUUACAUGACUUCAAAACUAAAGUCCACAGACAUGUAUUCAUUCACAGUAAAAUGGAAUUGCUCCACAAUUAUAAUAAAAAAAUAAAAAAAA